AGUGGGAUAACUGGGUCAAAUGGUGGUUCCAGGUUUUCUGAGGAAUCUCCAUACUGCUUUCCAGAGUGGUUGCACCAAUAUGCAGUCCCAUCAGCAAU
rnacentral:pre_miRNA from 1 species